GCCUGGCUCUACCUCUCCUAGAUCCAUUUAAGAACUGACUGCCAGGGGGGAAGGAUCUUUUCUGGAGAGCUGGAGUUUAUUAUGGGAGUCAUGGGUAAGGUUUUAACUGAUAGAAUCUCAAUUCAACUGAGAAGAAUACAAAGGAACUGCUCCUUCAUAUACAUGAUCUUGCACGUUGAUCAUAUCAGCAAACUCUGGAUCCACCUGUCACUUGCCAGAAGUCUUGGGAACAGGCGUG